ensembl:lncRNA
CUGAACCCCACAAUUGUUCAACAGGCUAUUCAUGCCUGACCGGUUUCCGAAGACAGAAUCUGGACGACGAGGACAUUUUCUCUCGGCGAGCUCUUCAAACCCAGGCCAUGGGCAAGUAUGAAGCCUGAACACAGAACGAUAGUCACAAGACAGUGGACCAGGAGUGUCGUGGCCUACCACACUAGGUCUACAGCCAAGAAGAAGAGGAUGUCUCUGAGGAGGAUGAGCACACCAUCCUUCCAGAAGCGGAGGAGGGGGGAGGAUAUGAGCUCUCAGGAUCUACUCCAGCCAGGCCUGCCUGCCUGCCAGCCUGCUGUCAUGGUGUCUACCACGAUGGUCCACGGACUCACCCUCUG